rnacentral:rRNA from 1 species
UAACACGUGAGCAACCUACCCUUCAGAGGGGGACAACAGUUGGAAACGACUGCUAAUACCGCAUAAGACCACGGUGUGGCAUCACACAGAGGUCAAAGGAGAAAUCCGCUGAAGGAUGGGCUCGCGUCCAAUUAGCUAGAUGGUGAGGUAACGGCCCACCAUGGCGACGAUUGGUAGCCGGACUGAGAGGUUGAUCGGCCACAUUGGGACUGAGACACGGCCCAGACUCCUACGGGAGGCAGCAUG